CUCCACACACACACACAGACACACAUCACACACAGACACACAUCACACACAUGCACCACACACGACACACACAUGCAUACACCACACACACACACGCACACACCCCACACAAACCAGACACACAUACACCAUACACACACACUGGACACACAAGCGCACACACCACACACAUGCACACCACACACACCAACACCAAACACACACACACUACACACCUACACGCACACCAUACGUACACCACACACACCAGACACAAAGGACACGCAAACACACACACCAGACACACACACGCACCACACACCACACACAUGCAUACACCACACACACACUCACACCACACAUACCAGACACACAUACACCAUACACACACACUGGACACACAAGCGCACACACCACAUACACCACACACACUACACACACCACAUACACCACACACACACCAGACACACACACAUGCACACCACACACACCAGACACAACAC
rnacentral:lncRNA from 1 species